CAGCCGCCGCGGUAAUACGGGGGGUGCAAGCGUUACUCGGAAUCACUGGGCGUAAAGCGCGCGCAGGCGGCCAUUUAAGUUGGAUGUGAAAGCCUACGGCUCAACCGUAGAACUGCAUCCAAAACUAUUUGGCUAGAGUGUGGGAGAGGAAGAUGGAAUUAGUUGUGUAGGGGUAAAAUCCGUAGAGAUAACUAGGAAUACCAAAAGCGAAGGCAAUCUUCUGGAACACUACUGACGCUGAGGCGCGAAAGCGUGGGGAGCAAACAGGAUUAGAUACCCUGGUAGUCCACGCAGUAAACGAUGAAUGUUAGUCGUCGGGUAGCUAGUCUAUUCGGUGAUGCAGCUAACGCAUUAAACAUUCCGCCUGGGGAGUACGGUCGCAAGAUUAAAACUCAAAGGAAUAGACGGGGACCCGCACAAGUGGUGGAGCAUGUGGUUUAAUUCGAAGAUACGCGAAGAACCUUACCUAGCCUUGACAUAUUUUAGAAUCUUCCACAGAUGAGAGAGUGCCUUCGGGAGCUAAUAUACAGGUGCUGCACGGCUGUCGUCAGCUCGUGUCGUGAGAUGUUGGGUUAAGUCCCGCAACGAGCGCAACCCUCGUCACUAGUUACUAACGGUUCGGCCGAGGACUCUAGUGAGACUGCCUUCGCAAGGAGGAGGAAGGUGAGGACGACGUCAAGUCAUCAUGGCCCUUACGGCUAGGGCAACACACGUGCUACAAUGGUUAGGACAAUGAGACGCAAUACCGCGAGGUGGAGCAAAUCUAUAAACCUAAUCUCAGUUCGGAUUG
rnacentral:rRNA from 1 species